rnacentral:rRNA from 1 species
GACGAACCGUGCGAACGUUAUUCGGAAUCACUGGGCUUAAAGCGCGUGUAGGCGGGCCGGCACGUCCGUGGCUGAAAGCCCCGGCUCAACCGGGGAAGGGGCGCGGAUACGACCGGCCUGGAAGGGGGUAGGGGGACCUGGGAACUUCCGGUGGGAGCGGUGAAAUGCGUUGGAGACCGGAAGGAACGCCCGUGGCGAAAGCGAGGUCCUGGACCCUUCUGACGCUGACGACGCGAAAGCCAG